GUUAGACUCAGGUAUGGUCCUGAAGAACAAUCCAGGUAACGGAGUUAUUGGUGAUCAUCAUGAAAAUUAGACCUAAUGACUUCAUACUUCUCAUAGUAAUAAUCUACCAAAAUCAUAAGCUGUUAUUAAAGGGAGACAACAACUUAUCUCGCAUAUUUAACCAAAUCGCAAACUGAGCUAUCUAUCUAAUCUGAAACUGUCAC
rnacentral:lncRNA from 1 species